CCUACGGGUGACAGCAGUGAGGAAUAUUGGUCAAUGGACGCGAGUCUGAACCAGCCAAGUAGCGUGAAGGAUGACUGCCCUAUGGGUUGUAAACUUCUUUUAUAUGGGAAUAAAAUGUUCCACGUGUGGGUUUUUGUAUGUACCAUAUGAAUAAGGAUCGGCUAACUCCGUGCCAGCAGCCGCGGUAAUACGGAGGAUCCGAGCGUUAUCCGGAUUUAUUGGGUUUAAAGGGAGCGUAGAUGGAUUGUUAAGUCAGUUGUGAAAGUUUGCGGCUCAACCGUAAAAUUGCAGUUGAAACUGGCAGUCUUGAGUACAGUAGAGGUGGGCGGAAUUCGUGGUGUAGCGGUGAAAUGCUUAGAUAUCACGAAGAACUCCGAUUGCGUAGGCAGCUCACUGGACUGCAACUGACACUGAGGCUCGAAAGUGUGGGUAUCAAACAGGAUUAGAUACCCUAGUAGUC
rnacentral:rRNA from 1 species